AUCCAUAUAGUCUCAAGGGCUAUAUGUGAUGUAUUUUAGCCAUAAAAAGGUAUUAUACAUUGCUGCCCAGGGCGCCCCCCCCAGCGCCCUGCACCCUCAGUGACAGUUGGUGACUGUUGGUGAAGUGUGCUGACAACAAUGGCGCACAGCUGCAGUGCUGUGCGCUACCUUAUGAAGACUGAAAGUCUUCUGCCGCCUGUUUCUGGACCUCUUCAACUUCGGCAUCUGCAAGGGGGGUCGGCGGCACGGCUCCGGGACGAACCCCAGGGUGAGACCUGUGUUCCGACUCCCUCUGGAGCUAAUGGUGUCCAGUAGCCUAAGAAGCAAAUCCAUCCUGCACGCAGAUGGAAUAUACAAUGCGUUGGUUAAAGGAGAGCUGUCUGGGACAUUGAACUGACACUGUGGCGAUUGAAUACAACCAGGCGUCCCCAGACAUCACAGGUAAAAACAGAGCUUUCUAGACAAGUAAUGAGACUCGGCUAUUUGAAGAGAUAAGGAAAAACCAUGGACUUUGCAC